UACGUAGGGUGCAAGCGUUAAUCGGAAUUACUGGGCGUAAAGCGUGCGCAGGCGGUUUGGUAAGAAAGAUGUGAAAUCCCCGGGCUCAACCUGGGAAUUGCAUUUUUGACUGCCCGGCUAGAGUGUGUCAGAGGGGGGUAGAAUUCCACGUGUAGCAGUGAAAUGCGUAGAUAUGUGGAGGAAUACCGAUGGCGAAGGCAGCCCCCUGGGAUAACACUGACGCUCAUGCACGAAAGCGUGGGGAGCAAACAGG
rnacentral:rRNA from 1 species